rnacentral:rRNA from 1 species
CGACCGGCGCACGGGUGCGUAACGCGUAUGCAACCUACCCAUAACAGGGGAUAACACUGAGAAAUUGGUACUAAUACCCCAUAACAUCAGGACCGGCAUCGGUUCUGGUUGAAAACUCCGGUGGUUAUGGAUGGGCAUGCGUUGUAUUAGCUGGUUGGUGAGGUAACGGCUCACCAAGGCAACGAUACAUAGGGGGACUGAGAGGUUAACCCCCCACAUUGGUACUGAGACACGGACCAA